AAAGCACUAGUUCUUAGGCUAAGGCAUCAUGCAUUCACGUUCAUAGUAUUUUUCACAUCCACUUAAAAUGAGUUAGGGAUAGUCCAGAGGAAUAAUGUUAAUACCAUCAAAAUGAACAUCCAAGAGGUCAGAAAACACUUAGAGGAAGUGGUGAGAUAUUUAUUGAAAUUGCACACAAAACUUAUUAUUUCUCUCUGUAUAGCCGAGACGAAAGAAGAAACGCAAUAGGUUACUCUACAGAGGUCUCUUGAUGUUGCCCAAAGACAUUUUUCACUGCCCAGUUACUCACCUUUUUAUUUUUUCUAUAUCUGUAUAUAUUAGACCUUCACCUAGAGAUUCAGUCUUGCUGGCCCUCACCUCAGUUCUAAUCCUGUAUGUGCUCAAGGGCCCCAAGUAGGUCAAGUAACGAGUUAACACUGAUGCCUGUUUUGCUUUGACUUUUUCCUGUCAGAUUUGUUAACCAAGUUUUAUUUUGAGCCUGUGGAGAAAUCAUACUCUUCAUCUAUUAGAACUGGAUUUGUCUUGUUCUUUCUGUCUGAGCACCUUCCUGGAUAUCUUGAUUCUCAUUGCUGUUACCCUGAGACUGGGAUCCUGUCAAGGACUAGAGGCCCAGUGGUCUCACCCCAGCAUAUUUCCCCCAUGGCAAUGAUAGAGGGAAAGGCAAGUGGAAACAUAGAAGGACUCUAGGAACUGGCCCAUCACCACUUCCAUAUUAUUCUUUUGCUAAAGCAAGUCAUAUUGCUGAAGGAUAAAGAAAUAUACUUGGAACCCUUAGGAAGAGAAACAUGGAAGAGAAUGUGGAAGCAGGAAGGACUGUUGAAAGAGGCUGCACUUCCUAAUCCUAAGAACAAAAGAAGGUGAAUUUCUCUUGGAACUCUUUUUGUCCAUGCCUGGUACACUAUUCUCGGAUCUGUGCUGACUCAAAGCCAAGGAGAUAUAUUGAGAGAAGAUUUACUUGAUGGACCAGAGCAAUGCUGGCUGUGGAGCUGGAGUUUAUCUGGAGACUUUUCAACCAAGCUGCUAAGGAGAGUGAAGCACACAUGCAAGCCUGCUGCCAAGGUAAGAAUUUCAGUGUGAUUUGGGGAAAAUAUUUGACUGCACAAGCCAGGAAGGACUGAGGUGGGAAAAAGGAAACCCGCGUCCUAACAUGAUCACUGCUGUAUCCGAAACUAAGUACGUGAUCUUCACCAAGCUCUUCCCUUUUCCUGGCCAAGCUCCUUAUCUCUGACAGGUUGAAUGGAAUUAGAACUCUGGUAGCCCAUAGACGUGGUUUAUUUGAUUCACAUAGCCCUCACCCUCCUUUUUUGCUUCUUUUCUUUUCCCCUUCCUUCCUUUUCUCCCUCCUUCCAUCUCCUUCCCUCCUUCCCUCCCUCCCUCCCUUCCUUCCUUCCUUGUCUUAAUUAAAUUAAGCCAGAGGUUUAAGCAAUAUAAACAUUUUUGGUCUUUUAGCCAAAGAGUCUUGAACAUUUAAAAACUCCUUAUAACAACAGAUACCACUACACACCUAUUAGAAUGGCCAAAAUCUGGAAUACUGACAACACCAAAUGCCAGCGAGGAGGUAGAACAAUAGGGACCCUCACCCAUUGCUGGUGGGAAUGCAAAAUGGUACAGCCACUUUGGAACACAGCUUGGUGGUUUCUUACAAAACUAAACACACUCUUCGCAGGUGAUCCAGCAAUUGUGUUCUUUGGUAUUUAACCAAAUGAGUUGAAGACGUAUAUCCACAUA